rnacentral:ncRNA from 1 species
CCGUCACAACGGCUUCCUGGCGUGACGGCUUGGUACCAAUGGAGCG